rnacentral:tRNA from 1 species
ACCUUCGUGGUGUAGUGGUCAGUACGCUCGACGCGUAUUCGAGAGGUCAGUGGUUCGAGUCCCGGUGAGGGCA